CCAGGUAGCCACAGCCCCUGGCCGGGGGGCCAGCCCUUUGCCCCCAGGAGAGCUGCUCCCUCACCUCAGGCUCCUGAGUCACCUCCCCUCAGAGGGCCUGCUCAGGGACCUGGCUCAGCUGCCUGGCUGCUGGGGGAAGGGGACGGGAGGC